CCUACGCGGGGCAGCAGUGGGGAAUAUUGCACAAUGGGCGCAAGCCUGAUGCAGCCAUGCCGCGUGUGUGAAGAAGGCCUUCGGGUUGUAAAGCACUUUCAGCGGGGAGGAAGGCGUUAAGGUUAAUAACCUUGGCGAUUGACGUUACCCGCAGAAGAAGCACCGGCUAACUCCGUGCCAGCAGCCGCGGUAAUACGGAGGGUGCAAGCGUUAAUCGGAAUUACUGGGCGUAAAGCGCACGCAGGCGGUCUGUCAAGUCGGAUGUGAAAUCCCCGGGCUCAACCUGGGAACUGCAUUCGAAACUGGCAGGCUAGAGUCUUGUAGAGGGGGGUAGAAUUCCAGGUGUAGCGGUGAAAUGCGUAGAGAUCUGGAGGAAUACCGGUGGCGAAGGCGGCCCCCUGGACAAAUACUGACGCUCAGGUGCGAAAGCGUGGGGAGCAAACAGGAUUAGAUACCCGAGUAGUC
rnacentral:rRNA from 1 species